UACGUAGGUGGCAAGCGUUGUCCGGAAUCAUUGGGCGUAAAGCGCGUGUAGGCGGCUUGGUAGGUUUCGUGUUAAAUCCCUCGGCUCAACCGAGGAAUCGCACGGAAAACCACCUCGCUAGAGUCCGGAAGAGGGAAACGGAAUUCCAGGUGUAGCGGUGAAAUGCGUAGAUAUCAGGAGGAACACCGGUGGCGAAGGCGGCUUUCUGGACAGAUACCGACGCUGAGGCACGAAAGCUAGGGGAGCAAACAGG
rnacentral:rRNA from 1 species